rnacentral:rRNA from 1 species
UACGGGGGGGGCAAGCGUUGUUCGGAAUUACUGGGCGUAAAGGGCUCGUAGGCGGCCAACUAAGUCAGACGUGAAAUCCCUCGGCUUAACCGGGGAACUGCGUCUGAUACUGGUUGGCUUGAAUCCGGGAGAGGGAUGUGGAAUUCCAGGUGUAGCGGUGAAAUGCGUAGAUAUCUGGAGGAACACCGGUGGCGAAGGCGGCAUCCUGGACCGGUACUGACGCUAAGGCGCGAAAGCGUGGGGAGCGAACAGG